rnacentral:rRNA from 1 species
UAGGGAAUAUUGCACAAUGGGCGCAAGCCUGAUGCAGCCAUGCCGCGUGUAUGAAGAAGGCCUUCGGGUUGUAAAGUACUUUCAGCGGGGAGGAAGGGAGUAAAGUUAAUACCUUUGCUCAUUGACGUUACCCGCAGAAGAAGCACCGGCUAACUCCGUGCCAGCAGCCGCGGUAAUACGGAGGGUGCAAGCGUUAAUCGGAAUUACUGGGCGUAAAGCGCACGCAGGCGGUUUGUUAAGUCAGAUGUGAAAUCCUCGGGCUCAACCUGGGAACUGCGUCUGAUACUGGCAAGCUUGAGUCUCGUAGAGGGGGGUAGAAUUCCAGGUGUAGCGGUGAAAUGCGUAGAGAUCUGGAGGAAUACCGGUGGCGAAGGCGGCCCCCUGGACGAAGACUGACGCUCAGGUGCGAAAGCGUGGGGAGCAAACAGG